rnacentral:ncRNA from 13 species
GGGUUAGUAGUUUAAUAGGUAAAGCGCUUUUUUGUCAAGGAAGUUUAUGCCGGUUCAAGUCCGGCCUAACCCG